rnacentral:rRNA from 1 species
UCGAGAAUCUUCGGCAAUGGGCGAAAGCCUGACCGAGCGAUGCCGCGUGCGGGAUGAAGGCCUUCGGGUUGUAAACCGCUGUCGUAGGGGAGAAAGGGUCGUUGAAGAAACGACUUUGAUCUAUCCUAGGAGGAAGUCCGGGCUAAGUUCGUGCCAGCAGCCGCGGUAACACGAACCGGACAAACGUUAUUCGGAAUUACUGGGCUUAAAGGGUGCGUAGGCGGUGCGGUAAGUGCGGUGUGAAAUCCCACGGCUCAACCGUGGAAUUGCGCUGCAUACUGCCGUGCUAGAGGGAGACAGGGGUAAGCGGAACUGAUGGUGGAGCGGUGAAAUGCGUUGAUAUCGUCAGGAACACCGGUGGCGAAAGCGGCUUACUGGGUCUCUUCUGACGCUGAGGCACGAAAGCUAGGGUAGCGAACGGGAUUAGAUACCCACGUAGUCCCUGAGCGGGCUGGCAAGGCGCAU